rnacentral:rRNA from 1 species
UGGGGAUAGCUAUUAGAAAUAGUAGAUAAUACCGAAUACGAGCACAGGGGUUAGAGAUCUGGUGAGGAAAGGAGCUAAGGCUCCGCUGAAGGAAUGGCCUGCGGCCAUUAGCUAGUUGGUGAGGUAAGAGCCCACAAGGCGAUGAUGGGUAUCCGGCCUUAGAGGGUGAACGGACACAUUGGGACUGAGAUACGGCCCAGACUCCUACGGGAGGCAGCAGCUAAGAAUAUUCCGCAAUGGACGAAAGUCUGACGGAGCGACGCCGCGUGGAUUAGAAGAAGGCCGGAAGGUUGUAAAAUCCUUUUGGAACUGAAGAAUAAGCGUUGUAGGGAAUGACAGCGUGGUGACAGUAGGUUUUGAAUAGGCAACGGCUAAUUACGUGCCAGCAGCCGC